GGGUUGUGAGGUUAAGCGACUAAGCGUACACGGUGGAUGCCCUGGCAGUCAGAGGCGAUGAAGGACGUGCUAAUCUGCGAUAAGCGCCGGUAAGGUGAUAUGAACCGUUAUAACCGGCGAUUUCCGAAUGGGGAAACCCAGUGUGAUUCGUCACACUAUCAUUAACUGAAUCCAUAGGUUAAUGAGGCGAACCGGGGGAACUGAAACAUCUAAGUACCCCGAGGAAAAGAAAUCAACCGAGAUUCCCCCAGUAGCGGCGAGCGAACGGGGAGGAGCCCAGAGCCUGAAUCAGCAUGUGUGUUAGUGGAAGCGUCUGGAAAGGCGCGCGAUACAGGGUGACAGCCCCGUACACAAAAGCGCAUGUGCUGUGAGCUCGAUGAGUAGGGCGGGACACGUGGUAUCCUGUCUGAAUAUGGGGGGACCAUCCUCCAAGGCUAAAUACUCCUGACUGACCGAUAGUGAACCAGUACCGUGAGGGAAAGGCGAAAAGAACCCCGGCGAGGGGAGUGAAAAAGAACCUGAAACCGUGUACGUACAAGCAGUGGGAGCACAGGUUUACCUGUGUGACUGCGUACCUUUUGUAUAAUGGGUCAGCGACUUAUAUUCUGUAGCAAGGUUAACCGUAUAGGGGAGCCGUAGGGAAACCGAGUCUUAACCGGGCGUUAAGUUGCAGGGUAUAGACCCGAAACCCGGUGAUCUAGCCAUGGGCAGGUUGAAGGUUGGGUAACACUAACUGGAGGACCGAACCGACUAAUGUUGAAAAAUUAGCGGAUGACCUGUGGCUGGGGGUGAAAGGCCAAUCAAACCGGGAGAUAGCUGGUUCUCCCCGAAAGCUAUUUAGGUAGCGCCUCGUGAAUUCAUCUCCGGGGGUAGAGCACUGUUUCGGCUAGGGGGCCAUCCCGGCUUACCAACCCGAUGCAAACUGCGAAUACCGGAGAAUGUUAUCACGGGAGACACACGGCGGGUGCUAACGUCCGUCGUGAAGAGGGAAACAACCCAGACCGCCAGCUAAGGUCCCAAAGUCAUGGUUAAGUGGGAAACGAUGUGGGAAGGCCCAGACAGCCAGGAUGUUGGCUUAGAAGCAGCCAUCAUUUAAAGAAAGCGUAAUAGCUCACUGGUCGAGUCGGCCUGCGCGGAAGAUGUAACGGGGCUAAACCAUGCACCGAAGCUGCGGCAGCGACGCUUAUGCGUUGUUGGGUAGGGGAGCGUUCUGUAAGCCUGCGAAGGUGGCCUGUGAGGGUUGCUGGAGGUAUCAGAAGUGCGAAUGCUGACAUAAGUAACGAUAAAGCGGGUGAAAAGCCCGCUCGCCGGAAGACCAAGGGUUCCUGUCCAACGUUAAUCGGGGCAGGGUGAGUCGACCCCUAAGGCGAGGCCGAAAGGCGUAGUCGAUGGGAAACGGGUUAAUAUUCCGUACUUGGUGUUACUGCGAAGGGGGGACGGAGAAGGCUAUGUUGGCCGGGCGACGGUUGUCCGGUUUAAGCGUGUAGGUGUGUGUUCCAGGUAAAUCCGGUUCACUUUAACACUGAGGCGUGACGACGAGGCACUACGGUGCUGAAGCAACAAAUGCCCUGCUUCCAGGAAAAGCCUCUAAGCAUCAGGUAACAUCAAAUCGUACCCCAAACCGACACAGGUGGUCAGGUAGAGAAUACCAAGGCGCUUGAGAGAACUCGGGUGAAGGAACUAGGCAAAAUGGUGCCGUAACUUCGGGAGAAGGCACGCUGACACGUAGGUGAAGUGAUUUACUCAUGGAGCUGAAGUCAGUCGAAGAUACCAGCUGGCUGCAACUGUUUAUUAAAAACACAGCACUGUGCAAACACGAAAGUGGACGUAUACGGUGUGACGCCUGCCCGGUGCCGGAAGGUUAAUUGAUGGGGUCAGCGCAAGCGAAGCUCCUGAUCGAAGCCCCGGUAAACGGCGGCCGUAACUAUAACGGUCCUAAGGUAGCGAAAUUCCUUGUCGGGUAAGUUCCGACCUGCACGAAUGGCGUAAUGAUGGCCAGGCUGUCUCCACCCGAGACUCAGUGAAAUUGAACUCGCUGUGAAGAUGCAGUGUACCCGCGGCAAGACGGAAAGACCCCGUGAACCUUUACUAUAGCUUGACACUGAACAUUGAGCCUUGAUGUGUAGGAUAGGUGGGAGGCUUUGAAGCGUGGACGCCAGUCUGCGUGGAGCCGACCUUGAAAUACCACCCUUUAAUGUUUGAUGUUCUAACGUGGACCCGUAAUCCGGGUUGCGGACAGUGUCUGGUGGGUAGUUUGACUGGGGCGGUCUCCUCCUAAAGAGUAACGGAGGAGCACGAAGGUUGGCUAAUCCUGGUCGGACAUCAGGAGGUUAGUGCAAUGGCAUAAGCCAGCUUGACUGCGAGCGUGACGGCGCGAGCAGGUGCGAAAGCAGGUCAUAGUGAUCCGGUGGUUCUGAAUGGAAGGGCCAUCGCUCAACGGAUAAAAGGUACUCCGGGGAUAACAGGCUGAUACCGCCCAAGAGUUCAUAUCGACGGCGGUGUUUGGCACCUCGAUGUCGGCUCAUCACAUCCUGGGGCUGAAGUAGGUCCCAAGGGUAUGGCUGUUCGCCAUUUAAAGUGGUACGCGAGCUGGGUUUAGAACGUCGUGAGACAGUUCGGUCCCUAUCUGCCGUGGGCGCUGGAGAACUGAGGGGGGCUGCUCCUAGUACGAGAGGACCGGAGUGGACGCAUCACUGGUGUUCGGGUUGUCAUGCCAAUGGCACUGCCCGGUAGCUAAAUGCGGAAGAGAUAAGUGCUGAAAGCAUCUAAGCACGAAACUUGCCCCGAGAUGAGUUCUCCCUGAGACUUAGAGUCUCCUGAAGGAACGUUGAAGACGACGACGUUGAUAGGCCGGGUGUGUAAGCGCAGCGAUGCGUUGAGCUAACCGGUACUAAUGAACCGUGAGGCUUAACCUUACAACGCCGAAG
rnacentral:rRNA from 1 species